rnacentral:rRNA from 1 species
GCGGGCCCGGGAGGUCUAGCCUGCGAGUCAUUGUAGCAAUACAAGGCAGACGGCUCAGUAACGCGUAGUCAACCUAACCUAUGGACGGGAAUAACCUCGGGAAACUGAGAAUAAUGCCCGAUAGAACAUUAUGCCUGGAAUGGUUUAUGUUCCAAAUGAUUUAUCGCCGUAGGAUGGGACUGCGGCCUAUCAGUUUGUUGGUGAGGUAAUGGCCCACCAAGACUAUUACAGGUACGGGCUCUGAGAGGAGUAGCCCGGAGAUGGGUACUGAGACACGGGCCCAGGCCCUAUGGGGCGCAGCAGUCGCGAAAACUCCGCAAUGCGCGCAAGCGCGACGGGGCUAUCCCGAGUGCCGUCCGCUGAGGAUGGCUUUUCUCAGGUGUAAUGAGCCUGAGGAAUAAGGGGAGGGCAAGACUGGUGUCAGCCGCCGCGGUAAUACCAGCUCCCCGAGUGGUGGGGGUGAUUAUUGGGCCUGAAGCGUCCGUAGCCGGCUCGGUAAGUCUUCCGUUAAAUCCAACGAUCUAAUCGUUGGGCCGCGGGAGAUACUGUCGGGCUAGGGGACGGGAGAAGCCGACGGUACUUCUGGGGUAGGGGUGAUAUCCUAUAAUCCUAGGAGGACCACCAGUGGCGAAGGCGGUCGGCUAGAACGCGCCCGACGGUGAGGGACGAAAGCUGGGGGAGCGAACCGGAUUAGAUACCCGGGUAGUCCCAGCUGUAAACGAUGCGGGCUAGGUGUUGGGGUGGCUACGAGCCACUUCAGUGCCGCAGGGAAGCCAUUAAGCCCGCCGCCUGGGGAGUACGGCCGCAAGGCUGAAACUUAAAGGAAUUGGCGGGGGAGCACCACAAGGCGUGAAGCUUGCGGUUCAAUUGGAGUCAACGCCGGG